rnacentral:lncRNA from 1 species
CAUCUGAUACCCUAAGGUUGAGAUGGGGUUGGGUCCAAUAACUGUUAGGUGAGGGAUCCAAUAACGGCUCUAUGCCCACUGGUGAAUGGUGGGUCUGAUUUAACUAAAAAAUAUGCCAAUAACUGCUAGGUGAGGCCACAAAACUUAGAGAUCAAAUCCAUUGUAUCUUGCUUGGUGAAGUAAUGGAUAAGGUGUUGUCCACUCAUUGGUUCAUGUGUCAUCAAUAACUGUUAGGUGAGGUGCACAC